GACGAACGCUGGCGGCGUGCCUAAUACAUGCAAGUCGAACGAGAGCACCCGGUGCUUGCACUGGUCAAUCUAGUGGCGAACGGGUGAGUAACACGUGGGUAACCUGCCCAUCAGAGGGGGAUAACAUCCGGAAACGGAUGCUAAAACCGCAUAGGUCUUCGAACCGCAUGGUUUGAAGAGGAAAAGAGGCGCAAGCUUCUGCUGAUGGAUGGACCCGCGGUGCAUUAGCUAGUUGGUGAGGUAACGGCUCACCAAGGCCGUGAUGCAUAGCCGACCUGAGAGGGUGAUCGGCCACAUUGGGACUGAGACACGGCCCAAACUCCUACGGGAGGCAGCAGUAGGGAAUCUUCCGCAAUGGAUGCAAGUCUGACGGAGCAACGCCGCGUGAGUGAAGAAGGUUUUCGGAUCGUAAAACUCUGUUGUUAGAGAAGAACAAGUGCUAGAGUAACUGUUAGCGCCUUGACGGUAUCUAACCAGAAAGCCACGGCUAACUACGUG
rnacentral:rRNA from 1 species